AUUGAACGCUGGCGGCAGGCCUAACACAUGCAAGUCGAACGAGUGGCGGACGGGUGAGUCAUGUCUGGGAAACUGCCUGAUGGAGGGGGAUAACUACUGGAAACGGUAGCUAAUACCGCAUACCAUCGGGUGUGCCCAGAUGGGAUUAGCUAGUAGGUGGGGUAAAGGCUCACCUAGGCGACGAUCCCUAGCUGGUCUGAUAGGAUGACCAGCCAGACUGGAACUGAGACACGGGCCAGAGUCCGACGGGAGGCAGCAGGGGGGAAUAUGGAACAAUGGGGGCAAGGUGGAUGAAGCCAUGCCGCGUGUAUGAAGAAGGCCUUCGGGUUGUAAAGUACGUUCAGCGGGGAGGCGUUACCCGCAGAAGAAGCACCGGCUAACUCCGUGCCAGACGCCGCGGUAAUAC
rnacentral:rRNA from 1 species